rnacentral:rRNA from 1 species
UACGAAGGGGGCUAGCGUUGCUCGGAAUCACUGGGCGUAACGGGUGCGUAGGCGGGUCUUUAAGUCCGGGGUGAAAUCCUGGAGCUCAACUCCAGAACUGCCUUUGAUACUGAAGAUCUUGAGUCCGGGAGAGGUGAGUGGAACUGCGAGUGUAGAGGUGAAAUUCGUAGAUAUUCGCAAGAACACCAGUGGCGAAGGCGGCUCACUGGCCCGGUACUGACGCUGAGGCACGAAAGCGUGGGGAGCAAACAGG